AGAGUUUGAUCAUGGCUCAGAUUGAACGCUGGCGGCAUGCCUUACACAUGCAAGUCGAACGGCAGCACGGGUGCUUGCACCUGGUGGCGAGUGGCGAACGGGUGAGUAAUACAUCGGAACGUACCUUAUCGUGGGGGAUAACGCAGCGAAAGCUGUGCUAAUACCGCAUACGCCCUGAGGGGGAAAGCGGGGGAUCGAAAGACCUCGCGCGAUUAGAGCGGCCGAUGCCUGAUUAGCUUGUUGGUGGGGUAAAAGCCCACCAAGGCGACGAUCAGUAGCUGGUCUGAGAGGACGAUCAGCCACACUGGGACUGAGACACGGCCCAGACUCCUACGGGAGGCAGCAGUGGGGAAUUUUGGACAAUGGGGGAAACCUUGAUCCAGCAAUGCCGCGUGAGUGAAGAAGGCCUUCGGGUUGUAAAGCUCUUUUGUCAGGGAAGAAACACCGGCUCUAACACAGUCCGGGAAUGACGGUACCUGAAGAAUAAGCACCGGCUAACUACGUGCCAGCAGCCGCGGUAAUACGUAGGGUGCGAGCGUUAAUCGGAAUUACUGGGCGUAAAGCGUGCGCAGGCGGUUAUACAAGACAGGCGUGAAAUCCCCGGGCUUAACCUGGGAAUGGCGCCUGUGACUGUAUAGCUAGAGUGUGUCAGAGGGGGGUAGAAUUCCACGUGUAGCAGUGAAAUGCGUAGAUAUGUGGAGGAAUACCAAUGGCGAAGGCAGCCCCCUGGGAUAACACUGACGCUCAUGCACGAAAGCGUGGGGAGCAAACAGGAUUAGAUACCCUGGUAGUCCACGCCCUAAACGAUGCUGACUAGUUGUUCGGGAUUUACAUCCUGAGUAACGUAGCUAACGCGUGAAGUCAGCCGCCUGGGGAGUACGGUCGCAAGAUUAAAACUCAAAGGAAUUGACGGGGACUCGCACAA
rnacentral:rRNA from 1 species